UGGGGCUGUAGCUCAACUGGUAGAGCGCCGGUAUGGCAGACCGGAGGCAGCGGGUUCGACCCCCCGCCAGUUCCACCCA
rnacentral:tRNA from 1 species